rnacentral:rRNA from 1 species
UCUAUGACCAUACCACCCUUAACACACCCAGUCUCGUCUGAUCCUGGCAGCUAAGCAGAGACGCACCUGGUUAAUACUGGAAUGGAAGAAAUACGAAGAGGAGUAAGUAGUGAUUAGAA